UACGUAGGGUGCGAGCGUUGUCCGGAAUUAUUGGGCGUAAAGAGCUCGUAGGCGGCUUGUCGCGUCGGAUGUGAAAGCCCGGGGCUUAACUCCGGGUCUGCAUUCGAUACGGGCAGGCUAGAGUUCGGUAGGGGAGAUCGGAAUUCCUGGUGUAGCGGUGAAAUGCGCAGAUGUCAGGAGGAACACCGGUGGCGAAGGCGGAUCUCUGGGCCGAUACUGACGCUGAGGAGCGAAAGCGUGGGGAGCAAACAGG
rnacentral:rRNA from 1 species